GGAUGAACAAAGCUUAGAAUUAUCAAACAUACCAGAACAGAUUGCACUAGAUUGGAGGCAAGCCUUAACCCUCAAGAAAAAAAUCGAAGAAAAAAUUACCAAAGAUGGAGUUAUUGGCAUCGGCAUUGCUACUGCUGCUGUGGAGUUUUGGUUGGUGGAAUUGCAGCUGCUUUAGCCCAGAAGAAUUGACCUGUGCAUUAUAAACAACUCUAUCGUGCAUACGUAUUGAACUCUAGCACAUGAAUUGCUAUUUGUGAGCGCAAAAAGUUUUGGUAGUUGCUUUGAAUUGGUAGAAUGGCAUGCAUUUCAUUUUCUAAUUUACAUUUUUAUACUCUUAUCGAAAAGCAUAUUGAUCAAGCUUGUUAAGUA